rnacentral:rRNA from 1 species
GCCUACACAUGCAAGUCGAGCGGUAGCACAGAGAGCUUGCUCUCGGGUGACGAGCGGCGGACGGGUGAGUAAUGUCUGGGAAACUGCCUGAUGGAGGGGGAUAACUACUGGAAACGGUAGCUAAUACCGCAUAAUGUCGCAAGACCAAAGUGGGGGACCUUCGGGCCUCAUGCCAUCAGAUGUGCCCAGAUGGGAUUAGCUAGUAGGUGGGGUAACGGCUCACCUAGGCGACGAUCCCUAGCUGGUCUGAGAGGAUGACCAGCCACACUGGAACUGAGACACGGUCCAGACUCCUACGGGAGGCAGCAGUGGGGAAUAUUGCACAAUGGGCGCAAGCCUGAUGCAGCCAUGCCGCGUGUGUGAAGAAGGCCUUCGGGUUGUAAAGCACUUUCAGCGGGGAGGAAGGCGGUGAGGUUAAUAACCUUGUCGAUUGACGUUACCCGCAGAAGAAGCACCGGCUAACUCCGUGCCAGCAGCCGCGGUAAUACGGAGGGUGCAAGCGUUAAUCGGAAUUACUGGGCGUAAAGCGCACGCAGGCGGUCUGUCAAGUCGGAUGUGAAAUCCCCGGGCUCAACCUGGGAACUGCAUUCGAAACUGGCAGGCUAGAGUCUUGUAGAGGGGGGUAGAAUUCCAGGUGUAGCGGUGAAAUGCGUAGAGAUCUGGAGGAAUACCGGUGGCGAAGGCGGCCCCCUGGACAAAGACUGACGCUCAGGUGCGAAAGCGUGGGGAGCAAACAGGAUUAGAUACCCUGGUAGUCCACGCCGUAAACGAUGUCGAUUUGGAGGUUGUGCCCUUGAGGCGUGGCUUCCGGAGCUAACGCGUUAAAUCGACCGCCUGGGGAGUACGGCCGCAAGGUUAAAACUCAAAUGAAUUGACGGGGGCCCGCACAAGCGGUGGAGCAUGUGGUUUAAUUCGAUGCAACGCGAAGAACCUUACCUGGUCUUGACAUCCACAGAACUUUCCAGAGAUGGAUUGGUGCCUUCGGGAACUGUGAGACAGGUGCUGCAUGGCUGUCGUCAGCUCGUGUUGUGAAAUGUUGGGUUAAGUCCCGCAACGAGCGCAACCCUUAUCCUUUGUUGCCAGCGGUUAGGCCGGGAACUCAAAGGAGACUGCCAGUGAUAAACUGGAGGAAGGUGGGGAUGACGUCAAGUCAUCAUGGCCCUUACGACCAGGGCUACACACGUGCUACAAUGGCAUAUACAAAGAGAAGCGACCUCGCGAGAGCAAGCGGACCUCAUAAAGUAUGUCGUAGUCCGGAUUGGAGUCUGCAACUCGACUCCAUGAAGUCGGAAUCGCUAGUAAUCGUAGAUCAGAAUGCUACGGUGAAUACGUUCCCGGGCCUUGUACACACCGCCCGUCACACCAUGGGAGUGGGUUGCAAAAGAAGUAGGUAGCUUAACCUUCGGGAG